CAGCAAGCAGAGUUGGCGAGCAAACAAGUGGGGAGAAAUGAAAAAACUUCAACCCACGGACCAGCUGAUUGUCAAAACUUGGAACGCGCUUCCCGUCACAUACCACGCACUGCAGCGUGUUCUGAUAACCUGGUACGCUAUGGCACUCUGGAGAGUCUCGUGAACGACGUGGCUGAUGACACGUGGGACAACAGAGCCACGAAUAGAAUGAGCACCAUCCGAUUCCUCGAUGACGACGAUGAACAGGUGAGAGAAUUGUGAAAUGCUGGACUCUGUAUCACCUGAUUGAGCUUCCGUGUGUGUGUGCGUGCGUGUGUGUGUUUGCGCGUGUGUGUGUUAAACUGAAAUAACAACUCGGACUAUUAUUACUAUUACAUUACUACUGCUACCAUCUAAUUUAUAAGAUUGGUUUUGAUGCACGUGUUUACUGUAUCAUUAAUUAAAAUGCAAAUGUGCAAACGCUUAUGUCAGAGUGUCAGAAUCCCGAGUUUGAGUGAGGAAACUUUCACGCCUGUGGAUUUCGGACAUUACUCUGUAGGUUGCCGAGUCAGGAUUGUCAGAAUUUUUGGAAACCCGACUAAAUGAAUGAAGUGCAUUCAGUAAAUAGCAAAAUAACGGAGUAUAUAAACACAAAAUCCAACGGCAAGAAAUUCCUGACAGUUCAUCUUUGUUAAUACAGGGAGUGACCCUGGUGGUAUGAACCACACUUGGGAACUAAUAAAAUUAGAAUAUAAAGCAUAAGGUAGCCUUUGAGUACGAUAGUUGUCACACGGGUCAUGUUUGCUGCGGUCCAAAUCCGAGUGCGAUUGUUCCCCCCGUUGGUCUGGUUUCAGACUCACUCGAACGCAGGUGCAACAGAUAUUAUGCGCAGCAGUGGACCUCUUCUGUGUCCCACAAAUUCCCCUGCCACUCAUGGUACACAUGUGUUGUGGAGACUACGUCGUAAUGAUGCCGUCCUCAGCUAAAAUGCACGCGCAGGUUACUUUACUUCCUGAAUAAGUGCGGAACGGAGUACGAUUUGCGUUCAUAUUCACUGGAAUCGUGGCUCGGUUCCAAAACAACCGAACUAGGACCACCUCCUUCAGGUAGUCUCAGGUCCGGUACCGCGCUGUGCUUCCCGGUCCACGUGACAGCUUUCACAUUACACACAAACCACGCUCAGACUGAGCUGCCAGUGCGAAAGCCCUCUAAGAGUCUGAUUUUGGAUCCGUAAUUAAAGCUAUGCCCUUGCUUUAGGGGCUUACUUCGCCUUCAGUCACUGUCGUUGAUUAUUUAUCUGGAACAGCACACCUGUGGUGUUUUAUUCUGUACUUGGCGUGGUACACUGAGAGUUGGGAGUAAAGUCAUUCAGAUGGCCUUGUUCUGUAAACAUAGCCCUGUCCACUCAUUGGUAUAUCCCUGCUCAUUCAUGCAGUUAUCCAAUACAUGAAAUCAUGUAGAUAAAAUGUGGACGUCUUCUCAGGUUCGGCAUGUUUUUUUUUUUUUUUGUUUUUUUUUCAUUUUAUGGUAGCCUUCUUCUCGGCUCGACCCAGUCUAGCUAUCGAGCUCUCUUUUGAUCUCGCUCAUCAACAAGCCGUUUCCACUCUUAGUUCCGCCACUCGAUGGUUUUUUGCACCAUCUUGAAUAAACUCAGGAGGCUGUGAAAUUCCAAGCAGAUCAGUAGCUUCUGAAAUACGCAAAUACCCGUCUGGCACCAGCAACCAUGCCACCGAGUCACCGAGAGCACAUUUUCCCCCUAUUCAGAUGUUUGAUGUGAACAUUUCCUGAAGCCGUUGAUGUAUAUCUGCAUGAUUUUAUGCACUGUGCUGCUGCCACAUGAUUGUCUGAUUGGAUAAUUGCACAGCUGUGCAGCUGUACAGGUGUUUGUCUUAAAGUGGCCAGUGAGUGUAUGUAUAGUGAUACUAUAGGUUAUAAAUACAGAAUAUGCACUAAGUUAGCCUUUCUGUUAUUAAAUACACGGACCUUGUGCCUACACUCAUCAUUUAGCUUUAUUAUUAUUAUUAUUAUUAUUAUUAUUAUUAUUAUUAUUAUUGUUAGCGGAAUGUAGUCCAGCUGUUGCCGUGCUAAUCACAUGACCCUGUCAGAAUAAUAACUUGACAACUCGGUGACUCCACAAAAAAAAUUAAAGAUAACACAGUACAAAACAGACCAUAGACCAGCAAAUAUGUACGCUCAACUAUUGCCAGGAUUGAAUGAUUCAUCAAUAACCGAGUAACAGGACCAGCGUGGGAAAGAAGCCGUUUUAUAACGGUGAUGGAUCGAAUGUGAUGAAUAGCAAUAACUAGGUGUCUAUAACUAUAGCUCGUGUAUCUCCAAUGAUGGUCUUGUUUUCUUUAUUUCUUUUCCUCUGUCGUAGGGGACGCUGUUGCGACGGGCCACGCCGCACCCCGGAGAGCUGAGGAGCACGAAGAAGGUGGUGGAGAAUCUCCGCAACGGUCUGAACGCUGCCAAAGGCCUGGACUCCAACAAAAACGAGGUCAAUAACACUGUGGACCGAGUGACUACAUCUGUGUGACCGCUUUGUUUUCCUCCAAGAUGACCCAGUCCCCAUCGUGUCUUCCCACAAUGCACCUCAUCCAGCCUUCUCCCUGUGCUUUUUCUCCCUUGAAUGUGACUCUCCUUUCUCUGUGCUGGGUCUGUUCUGUUCUCUCCUUCAUCUCCUCAGAUCCUGAAUCAGGGAAAGACCACCAUGAUAGGUGCCUUCUUUUUUCUUUUUCUUGUUUAUCUUCAGAGCAAUAAUCCAUGGACUGCACAAUUUCUUUUUUCUUUUUAAAUUUUACAAUCCAGCCCUUUUUUUUUUUUUUUAAAGCUUUUUGAUUUUUUCCAAACACAUACCAAGUUAAAAUAAGUAGGUGCACUACAUUAAGUCUUAUACUAAUGCUGACAGAAGCUCCAGUUAUAUAUUUACAUUCUAUUUUUAAUUUUUUGUUUUUUAAACACUGGGUGGAUGUUUCUUUUUUCUUUCUUUCUCAUGAACAUGAACUAUAGCGCGGGACUGGGGGCGGAGAAACCAGCGUGAACUAAACUAACGAACCUAAACAUGAAACAUGACAUGAACUAUGACUAUGAAUUGAACCAUGAAACUAUGAACUGUGACUUUGGUUCUCUAUCGUAAGGACACUCAACUAAUCUACUACAACUCAAUAUUCCGCGCUGUGUGCUGGGAGGCGCGCGGUAUAUAUACAAACAUAAUCAGCCUCGUAAUGGCUGAGGGCGAUUCAGACACACAUGAAACAACAACCAAUGACAGAACAGGGAGGAGACAUAACAGAAACAUAACAAAUGCACGUGUCGAAAUGUCACGAUUGUCAACAAGGGAAAAGCAGGUGCUCGCGCACCUGCUCGUGCACGCGCGCUCACAUGCUCCACAGCGCGCUGCUUAAAGGGGAACUCAUGACAGAACUUGGUCGGCCGUGUCGGUAGACUCGGGCUUGAGCAGAACUUGGUCGGCCAUAUCAGUAGACUCGGGUGUGAGCAGAACUUGGUCGGCCGUGUCAGUAGACUUGGGCUUGAGCAGGGCUUGGUUGUCCGGGUUAACAGACACUUGGGACAGUAACUGUGCUUUGCAGUGGAUCUGUGGAGCUGAGACCCACUCCUGAACCUCCGGCUGGGGCUCUGAUGCUGGGGCCUCCCUGUUGACCCGCUCGGCAGGUGAGCCCACCUCGUGUGUCUCAGGUUCGAGCUCUGA